rnacentral:lncRNA from 1 species
UGCUCAAUUUUUCUUACCAACAGUUUAAUUGCCGUUAUAAAAGCAUCACUUCUUUUGUAAGACCCUAAUGUUUAUCUCUCUUGCAAACAAAAAAUUACAUUGAUUUUAUAAAACUGUUUAUAAGCAAGUUUUAAUGACUUCGUUUCGUAGUGGACAUUGUGUUAGGGACACACCUUCUAAAAUAAAAAAUCCUAUUUUAAAAGCUGUUUAUUGAAAUAUGUUGGCUCUAAACAUACUUUUGAAUUAUUAAAGAACUUAUAUUAAGUAAAAUUAAUAUUUAUUUUUACAUUUUUUUACGAUAUUUGAGAGUAUGAAUGUUGAACAGGCGGUCUAGGGACAU